GAAGCUGACCAGACAGUCGCCGCUUCGUCGUCGUCCUUUCGGGGAGACGGGCGGAGGGGAGGAAAGUCCGGGCUCCAUAGGGCAGGGUGCCAGGUAACGCCUGGGGGGGGGAAACCCACGACCAGUGCAACAGAGAGCAAACCGCCGAUGGCCCACGCAAGUGGGAUCAGGUAAGGGUGAAAGGGUGCGGUAAGAGCGCACCGCGCGGCUGGUAACAGUCCGUGGCACGGUAAACUCCACCCGGAGCAAGGCCAAAUAGGGGUUCAUAAGGUACGGCCCGUACUGAACCCGGGUAGGCUGCUUGAGCCAGUGAGCGAUUGCUGGCCUAGAUGAAUGACUGUCCACGACAGAACCCGGCUUAUCGGUCAGUUUCACUU
rnacentral:RNase_P_RNA from 3 species